CUCCACUUCCUCUCUCCCCACCCCACCCCAGGGAAAAACGAAAACAAACACCCUUGGGCCCCGCACCUCCGACUCCCGGACCCCACGACCCGGCUCCGGAACUGCUUUGGCGGCCUGGGUCGGAGAAGGCGCCUCGCCCUGGACCCACUACGCCCCGCAGCUCAGUGACUCUUCGCCUCGCCAUCCGCAUUCCCCGCCCCAGCCCGACUCCGCCUCCCAAUGGGGAAACAUCCCAAAAAAGGGCAGAAAAGAAAUUUCAGCAUAAAGUUGGCCCACUGGGAAAGAGGGGAGCGUCCGCGGGGAGCGGGGGAAGAGAGGGAGGGCGCGCGGAGGGGAGUGGGGCCAGGCGAGCCGGGGGCGGGGAGCGGAGGGGUUCGGGACGCGUCCGGGUGGGAGCGGGGGCGGGGAACGCGCGGUGACCAGCCCGGCCACAACCGCGUGGAAAAUAUGCGGGGCACGUGGGGGGCUGGGCGGGGAGCUGGGUCCUGAGUCGCCGGGCGCUCGCAGGGCGGGCCUGGCUCCAGGGACGGGGGCUGGGAGAGGAGGCGAGGGGAUGAGAGGUCAGGCCGGUUCUGGGGGCAGCAAGCCCGGCCACACUCCGCGCCGCGACCGGGGCUCUGGGCUCGCCUCCUGCCUCAGUUUCCCCAAGCCCCCGAUGAGACUCCGCUACUACCACCACGUCGAUAACGCAAACUUAGGGGGACUCUGGGUAAACUGAGGCACUCAAAUUGCCGAGGAGCUCCGCCUCCCAAGAGACAUUUAAUCCGGGGGGAUUUGCAGGAAACUUCUAAAUUAAGGGUAGCGGCUGCUGCAGCUGAGGGGGGGCACGCCGGUCGCUGCGCCCGGGCAGCUGCCGUGAGCUCACGCCCCGAAAUAGCCCCAGGGGCCCCAGCCGCAGCUGCCACUGGGUCCGGCUGUCACUCAGAGGAAGCACGGAGCCCCCAGCCACAGGGUCCCCUCCCCUCCGCAGCGCCGGAGUUUUUCCAACCGACAGUCUGCUACUUUUUCCUUCGACGGCUGGCGGGGAAGAGGGGAAUGGGGGCGGGACCCCAAGGGAGGCGGUCCCCAGUGGGUGGGCGAAGGGGGCGGGCGCGCCCCCCGGCCAGGCCGUGCUUCUGCCCCUACAAGGUUUGGGCCGAGGUGGGGGAGGGUCCUGGUUGCCGGCCCCGCCCGGUCCCUCCCCGGCUUUUAGGCGCCCGCGCGGCCGGGACGUCCCAGCCUCGCUUGGUCCUCCUCGCCUGCCACCCGUGCACCCAGUUCGCUCAGCCAGCCCAGUCCGUCCGGUCCUCACCGCCUGCCGGCCUGCCCACCCCCCACCGCAGCCAUGGACGCCAUCAAGAAGAAGAUGCAGAUGCUGAAGCUGGACAAGGAGAACGCCAUCGACCGCGCCGAGCAGGCCGAAGCUGACAAGAAGCAAGCUGAGGACCGCUGCAAGCAGCUGGAGGAGGAGCAGCAGGCCCUCCAGAAGAAGCUGAAGGGGACAGAGGAUGAGGUGGAAAAGUAUUCUGAAUCCGUGAAGGAGGCCCAGGAGAAACUGGAGCAGGCCGAGAAGAAGGCCACUGAUGCUGAGGCAGAUGUGGCCUCUCUGAACCGCCGCAUUCAGCUGGUUGAGGAGGAGCUGGACCGGGCCCAGGAGCGCCUGGCUACAGCCCUGCAGAAGCUGGAGGAGGCCGAGAAGGCAGCUGAUGAGAGCGAGAGAGGAAUGAAGGUCAUCGAAAACCGGGCCAUGAAGGACGAGGAGAAGAUGGAGCUGCAGGAGAUGCAGCUGAAGGAAGCCAAGCACAUCGCUGAGGAUUCAGACCGCAAAUAUGAAGAGGUGGCCAGGAAGCUGGUGAUCCUGGAAGGAGAGCUGGAGCGCUCAGAGGAGAGAGCUGAGGUGGCUGAGAGCCGAGCCAGACAGCUGGAGGAGGAACUUCGAACCAUGGACCAGGCCCUCAAGUCCCUGAUGGCCUCAGAGGAGGAGGUAGCAACCCCUCUGAACCUUUCUGGGCAAUGGCGCCUUCUCUCAGCUCACCUUCCCUCCGUCUCAGCACCGCAGACUGCUCUUUCUCAGCUGCUGGGGAUCAGGAAGGGCCUGGGGCUUCUGAGCCCUGCCUGCUGUCACUCUCACAACUUUGCUCUUCUCUUCUCUCCUCCACCCAUCCCCCGCUGUGCCAUCUCCACUGUCUGGCUUCGCUGUGCCCUCACACCCCGCCCCCCCCGCCACACACCCCCUGCAGUAAAUGUGGGGACCUAGAGGAGGAGCUGAAAAUUGUUACCAACAACUUGAAAUCCCUGGAGGCCCAGGCGGACAAGUAUUCCACCAAAGAAGAUAAAUAUGAAGAGGAGAUCAAACUGUUGGAGGAGAAGCUGAAGGAGGCUGAGACCCGAGCAGAGUUUGCUGAGAGGUCUGUGGCAAAGUUGGAGAAAACCAUCGAUGACCUAGAAGAUGAAGUCUAUGCCCAGAAGAUGAAGUACAAGGCCAUUAGCGAGGAACUGGACAACGCACUCAAUGAUAUCACCUCCCUCUGAGCCCCACGCCAACGUGGCCACCUCAGCCCUCUUCUCUCCUCUCCUUUCUGUUCUCUCUAUGGGGAGGGGAGCAGGCAGGAGGAGCAGAAAUUGCCAACAUUGCACAGCCAGGCUGGGAGCAGCCUAGGGAGAGCCCCUAUCAUGCCCACCACCCACUCUGGCACUGGCUUCAUCCUUUACCUGUCCCCUCCACCCCCCUUUGCUGCUUAAUAAACUCUGAACUUGGU